AAUGAAUUGCCUGACAAAAAGGAUUGUUUUGAUAGAGCAAAUUAUGUAAUAAAUUACAUUCAUUA
rnacentral:tRNA from 1 species